AUACGUAGGGUCCAAGCGUUAUCCGGAGUGACUGGGCGUAAAGAGUUGCGUAGGCGGUUAUGUAAGCGAGUGAUGAAAACUAUCGGCUCAACCGAUAGCCUAUUAUUCGAACUGCAUAACUCGAGAGUAUCAGAGGUCGCUGGAAUUCCUAGUGUAGGAGUGAAAUCCGUAGAUAUUAGGAGGAACACCAAUGGCGUAGGCAGGCGACUGGGAUAUUUCUGACGCUAAGGCACGAAAGCGUGGGGAGC
rnacentral:rRNA from 1 species